UAUGUUUAAAAACAUCAUAAUCGAGGUCAUUGUACGGAAUAAUAUAUCUCAAACUCACAAGUAAUUUGAAUCUUCAUAAAAAUCUAAUACGGAGGAAUUCUUUUUAUCACGAAACAACGGAAAUUUUGAAGUUCUUUGCGUCUUAUUUCACAACUCUUAACAAAUUUAGUGAAUUAUCCGUCGCCAUGUCGGAUUUGGUAUUGGUUCGCGUAAUAUUUUACCCUAGUGCCACCCUACUUCUCAUCUAUAGUGAGAUUUGAAAUGAAAAGUAAACGUGGGCGCGGGGAUUUGAAAUCGCGUUCGAGACGCUUCGAGAGAUCGAGAAGUCGAGUGUAGACAGUACGACAACGUGUGGCGCAGCCGCGGAAACUUUCGUUGAUCGUCUCGUGAGUCGAGUGUCUAUUAGCAGUUAUCGUCGUACAUUUACGAGAACGAGUGUGAUAAUUACGAUCUUAUUAACGAACGAAAUCGCUCGCCGUAGAAAGUAUAUAAUAAGCUUAAUGAACUACUUCAAAGUGACAGGAGUGAACGUUAACAGCUGUUUGUGCGUGCACAAUUUCUAUCAAGAUACCUACGUUCUUUGUUUGUGACGACACAUUUCUCACAUAUCGUUUUACAAAUAUUCGAUAAUGGAAUAAAGAAUUCUCGUAGGUGAAACGUAAUGAAGGUCGCGAUUCGACCAGUAACCUUUCAAAUAUGAUGUAACUUCCUCGCAGUGAAAGACUUGAUCACUUGUAAUCUGUAUCAGACGCGCGCGCUCUAUGAUUUCUGGCGGGACAACUUUUCAAAGCGUGUCGCGUAAAAACUAUUCGAUUAUUCGUGUGACAAGCAUACAAACGAGACACGUAGCGUUGUUAUUACAGAUGCACGCAAUGUACUCGUUAACCUGUAAAUGUUUGUGAACAGAAACAGUUAUUUGCCAGAGUUUUUUUCAUAAAAUUUACUCGUUUCACCAUGAAUCUGGUGAUGAGUUAAGUAUAAACUAGAAAAGUGAGGUUAAGUGGAAAAUGCGGACUGCGGCGCCACCACGAGGUAUCAAACAACUCCGUCGAACCACAGGACACAAUGCUUCCGUGGAUUACAGAAAUCGAAUGAUGUCGGAGUUCCCAGUUCCGGAGGGAGGAGAAAACGGUGACAUGCACACUGUCAUGGAGAAUUUUCAAAAGAAGAACAUGGUGACCGGAAGGAGCCAUGUUACUCAUCAUCCACAGGUCACUUCGUCAUCGCAGAUGCUGACGACGAACCAGAGCCAGAGCAGCAGCAGUUCGAGCAGGGUGGCCACCAAAUCCUCGCAGAGGAUUCUUACCUCGUCCUCGUCGAGUGAGAUGAAAGCAAGCUCAAUGAAGAGCGACCUAAGAGAACUUCAACGCGGCAUAUCCGAGAUGAAGAACAACAUUUCAACGAAUUUUUCACAACGACUGCGCAGCAGCAUGGAAAACCUCGUGGACAGGGACACGAAUGGAUCGGAGGAAGCCGAUCUGACGGAGCCCUUGGUCACGUUUCCGGAUCCGGAUACGCCGCCACCAGCCACAGGAGCGGUCACGCUGACUGGAGGAGCACCCUCCCAAUUGACCUCCCUGAACUCGUUGAACAAUCUUCACAGCAUGAGCCCACAGAUCAACAUGUCGAACAUUUCGAAUAUGACGAAUCUUCCUGCUGGACAGGAAACGAUGAAAUUCGAGCAGAAGAAGAUGACAAGCGCAUCCAAGACCAAGGUCGUCACGGACGGAUUCAGCGCCGAGAAAGCGACGGCGAACAGCGCCGAGAUGAGAGCUUUACAAACUGGCGACGUCUCGUACAAGGAGCAAAGCGCCGCGACGGCGGCCAGGGCCCGCGUCGAACUCGAUGGCGUCUCCGCCGAGAAGAGCGUCGCCGCUGCAAGGGAACAGAGAAGUUUAAAAGCUGGAGAUUUAUCGCACCAAGAGAGUAAUAAUAUGGCUGCAUCGACGAUGAAAUUACAGAGUGAUUCCUUCAGUUCAGAGAAGAAAGCUAUGGCAGCUCAACAACAAAGACAAACAGUCACUUCAACUGGGAUCUUCAAUCAUGAGAAACAUAUUUCUUCAGCAAGUUCCCAAUCAAGCAUCACAAUUGCAUCCAAAGGUGUCACUUCGAAAUCGUCAAUGAUCAGUGCAGCAAAUGCAGUAAAUCAAUUGAUGAACGGCAUGAGGCCAGCCGAGGAUGAACUUCUUUCGCUACCUCUGGAUGAUCUAGAUCUUUUAUGUUCGAAAUCAAAUUCCCAAGAUGUCGAUCGAGCCAUCACCAAGUAUUCCAAUUUCUUGGACAAUUUCGUGGAACGUUUAAAGGCUAAUGAUUGUAAAAAUGAUAAAGCUCCUUUGUUGCUAAACAGAGUAAACGAAAUAAUUAGAAAAGCAUGGGCAGUGCCUACAUAUGGCCACGAAUUAGGUUACACUUUAUGCAAUACUCUCAGAACAAGAGGUGGUCUUGACCUAUUAAUGUCGAAUUGCGUGGCUAGCGAUCAGGAGUUACAGUUCUCUUCAGCUAGAUUGCUAGAGCAAUGCCUUACCACAGAAAACAGGGCCCAUGUAGUAGAACAUGGUCUAGAAAAAGUGGUAAACGUCGCCUGCGUGUGUACGAAGAAUGCCAAUUCAGUGGACCAUUCUAGAGUGGGUACUGGAAUUCUGGAACAUUUGUUCAAACACAGUGAAGGAACUUGUAGCGAUGUAAUUAGACUAGGUGGUCUAGAUGCCGUUCUAUUCGAAUGCAGAAAAAAUGACAUUGAGACAUUAAGACAUUGUGCAGGUGCUUUAGCCAAUCUCUCUCUCUAUGGAGGUGCAGAAAAUCAAGAAGCUAUGAUCAAGAGAAAAGUACCCAUGUGGUUAUUCCCUCUGGCUUUCCACAAUGAUGAUAAUAUCAAAUAUUAUGCCUGUCUAGCAAUCGCUGUACUAGUAGCUAAUAAGGAGAUAGAAGCUGCCGUAUUAAAAUCUGGUACUUUGGACUUAGUCGAGCCAUUCGUCACCUCGCAUAAUCCUUAUGAGUUUGCUAAAUCAAAUUUGGCGCACGCACAUGGCCAAAGCAAAAAUUGGUUGGAAAGACUUGUACCAGUAUUAAGCUCGAAGAGAGAAGAAGCUAGAAAUCUGGCGGCCUUUCAUUUCUGCAUGGAAGCGGGAAUCAAAAAACAACAGGGCAAGACUGAAAUCUUCCGUGCAAUAGGAGCCAUUGAGCCGUUAAAAAAAGUAGCUAGUUGUCCUAAUGCAAUUGCGUCCAAAUACGCGGCGCAGGCGUUGCGUUUAAUUGGAGAAGAGAUUCCCCAUAAACUUAGCCAACAGGUACCUCUCUGGUCUACAGAGGACGUUCGAGAAUGGGUGAAGCAGAUUGGAUUCGCAGAAUGUGCUCAAAAUUUUGUAGAAAGCAGAGUUGAUGGUGAUUUAUUGCUGCAGCUAACGGAAGAGAAUCUCAAAGAAGAUAUUGGUUUGGCAAAUGGUAUCAGACGAAAACGGUUCACUAGAGAAUUGCAGAAUUUGAAGAAGAUGGCUGAUUAUAGCAGUAGAGACACAGGAAAUUUAAAUAGUUUCUUACAAUCUAUUGGUCAAGAAUUUUCAAUCUACACAUAUAGUAUGCUGAAUGCUGGUGUUGAUAAAGAUUCUAUAAGAAAUUUGUCUGAAGACCAACUAUUGAGUGAAUGUAGCAUUACGAACAGUAUUCACCGAUUGAGGAUAUUGGAUGCCAUUAAGAAUAUGCAACACAAUCAACUAGGUUCAUCGGAAAACGAAUCGCCAGACAAAUCUUUAGAUGUAUUUGUUAGUUAUAGAAGAUCAAAUGGAUCUCAAUUGGCCAGUUUAUUAAAAGUCCACUUACAAUUGCGCGGUUUUUCUGUAUUCAUCGAUGUUGAAAGACUAGAGGCUGGCAAGUUCGAUAACAAUCUAUUGCAAAGUAUCAGACAAGCAAAACACUUCCUCCUUGUGCUAACGCCCAAGGCUUUGGAAAGGUGUAUACAAGAUAACGAAUGCAAAGACUGGGUUCAUAGGGAAAUUGUAGCAGCUCUACAAUCGCAAUGUAAUAUAAUUCCCAUCAUAGAUAAUUUUCAAUGGCCAGAGCCUGAGGAACUUCCUGAAGAUAUGCGAGCAGUUUGUCACUUUAAUGGUGUACGAUGGAUUCACGAUUAUCAAGACGCUUGCGUAGACAAGCUUGAGAGGUUUAUGCGAGAAAUACCAGUCAAAUCAGAUAUUCCAAGAGGCAUUGCACCUAAAGAUGUGACACAACCAAAUGCAUCGACUAAUACGAACAUUCGACCACCAAACUAUCAACGUAUGCACAGCAAUGAAAGCAGAGGUAGUGACAAAGAUUCAACAGGAGGACGAGAUUGACUAGAGGGCCCGCCCACAGCUAUAUCGAAUAGCCAGGAUUAACACUCGCGCUUUAGACAAUCAAUCACGUCUAGGCUUAGAAAAUCAUCAAGUCCGUCCCGUUGGUUAAUAGGUUUACCACCUACGUCUCCGAGAUUAAAGUUCAUUCACACACAUCCUGGAGGAAGUCCAGGAGUACCGCGAAGACCUCCGCGAUAUCCCCCUUCUCCAUCUACUAGAUCUCGUUCGUUAGAAUUGUUAGAUUCAGAUGAGAAAAAAUCAGUCUCGCCUGUUAAAGAAUCAGAAGCACAAGUGAGACCAAGGUCCAGAAGCUUAGAUGGCUUGCUAGAUGAAGAUAGUAUAGUAUCAGACAUGAAGACUGAAGAAUCGUCUAAGCUAUGUAACGAGAGUAAAAUUGAUUCUAAAAUAUCUCUGGAGCCUUUAGACAAACUUUCUGGUAUUAAAAUAAAAGAUAAUCUUUCUCAAAUUGUAUCGCAAAAAAUACAGAAUGAAGAAGAAGGAUCAAUCAUUAAUCUUUAUUCUAAUGAAUUUAAUGAUCAAAAAACAAAUGAGAGUCAGAAUCCAAUACCAGUUCCUAGGCAACGAUUGAAAACAGAAACAAAAUCAGAAUCAGUCACUGUUGUCCAACAAGAAGAAACUCAAAAAUCAAGCUCUGAAGAGAAUAGUAUUAAAGAAGAACAUCCAUUAAUGCGACCAUCGAAACCAUAUCGAUUUGUAAGUAUGGAUACUUCGAGUAUGGAACAUGAGAAAGAGGAUUCUCAGACAAGUUCAGAGAACAUUGAUCCUUGUGAUAAUGCAGAAUUAAAAAAACGUUUGGUGGUAACGGGAAACGAUAAAUCUACACUUCUUAAAGCGAAGAGCUGUGGUGCGGGAUUAGAUUCCGACGAAAAUAUUUUAUCAAAUGAAUAUAAAUCUAAGUCGCGAGAAGAAGGUUCAUUACUUUCGCUUCCAACAGGAGCCGAGCCGAAACGAAAAAAAAACUUUAUGGAUAAAUGCGUAAAUAAAGUGCGGUCUUUCAUGAAGAAAUAACUUUCUUCAAAUUAUGGCAAUAUAAAGACUUGUUAUUUAAUUUUACAAUUUGAUUAAUUAUAGUAAACAUGUCGAUCGAGCUUGGUAAAUCCAACUUUACGUAACCAAAUAUGGUAUAUGUAUAUUCGCUUUAAAUUGUUUUUCUAUUCUGUAUUAAAUGUUUUCGAGAUUUAUAAACUUGCCUCGAUAAAACAAUAUUUUUUUUCUUUUUUUUUUUUUAAUUUCUUAAUGAUGUAUCGUAAUGAAUGUACAUAUUUAAAAUGUUUAAAAGAACAAAAGAAAAAGAAUAAUAUAAAAUUUUUCUAAAAUCAAUUUCCUAUUAACUGUGAAUAUACAUGAUACUUAAAAAAUGUAUAGCAAAUAAAAAAAAUGAUUAUGAAAUAUUGCUAAUAAAAUUACGAAUUAUCGUAAUCUCACUUCUGUACAAUACAGGCAGCAUAAAAGCGUAAUUAAUAUUGUGCCUAAAAAAAACCUUCAUAGAAAUCCAGGAUUGAAAAAAUGAAUAAAUGAAUGAAUGAGUGAAUCGGUGAAAAUGAGAGUGAGAGAAAGAGAUGUACGAAAAAAGAGAAGUACGAGAUAUUUUUGAUGUAAUACAAACAUGAAAAAGUAACCUGUUUUUUCAGGUAACUUUUAUAUUUCCUUAUCAAAUUGUAUUAUAGAUAUACAUAUAUUAUAAAUGCGUAGAUAGAUAGCAUUGCUAUUUGUAAUACUAUUUUUUAGUCUGUUUUUUUAGAUUAUCAUAAUGUUUCACUUAUGACAUAUGUCGUGAGUGAUGGCAGCUAACCCGCACGAAAUAACAAAAGAAAUUUAAACGUAACAAUUGGUUACGAUAUUAUUUUAUCGUUUUUACUGUAUCACUUUUAACUGAAGUUAUUUUACAUACGUACAUAGAAAGUUCAAACAAAAUCUAUAUGAAGUGAAUUACGAAGCUUCGAUGUAUACUAUUUUAAAGACCUGUCUAAAAAUUGAGAAAUGUAUAUUUUACCAAAGUUUCGUAAAGUAAAAGAAUUUUAUUAAAAGUUUGUUUCUUAUAAAAUAAAUCUUAUUGAACAAACCAA